UGGGGAAUAUUGCACAAUGGGCGAAAGCCUGAUGCAGCAACGCCGCGUGAGGGACGACGGCCUUCGGGUUGUAAACCUCUUUUAGCAAGGAAGAAGCGAAAGUGACGGUACUUGCAGAAAAAGCGCCGGCUAACUACGUGCCAGCAGCCGCGGUAAUACGUAGGGCGCAAGCGUUAUCCGGAAUUAUUGGGCGUAAAGAGCUCGUAGGCGGUUUGUCGCGUCUGCUGUGAAAACCCGAGGCUCAACCUCGGGCCUGCAGUGGGUACGGGCAGACUAGAGUGCGGUAGGGGAGAUUGGAACUCCUGGUGUAGCGGUGGAAUGCGCAGAUAUCAGGAAGAACACCGAUGGCGAAGGCAGAUCUCUGGGCCGUAACUGACGCUGAGGAGCGAAAGGGUGGGGAGCAAACAGGCUUAGAUACCCUGGUAGUCCACCCGUAAACGUUGGAACUAGUUGUGGGUCCAUUCCACGGAUUCCGUGACGCAGCUAACGCAUUAAGUUCCCCGCCUGGGGAGUACGGCCGCAAGGCUAAACUUAAAGGAAUUGACGGGGUCAUAGCUGUUUCCU
rnacentral:rRNA from 1 species